rnacentral:tRNA from 1 species
ACCUGGGUAGCUCAGUUGGUUAAGCAUCUGACUUCGGUUCAGGUCAUGAUCUCACAGUUUGUGGGUUCGAGCCCCACAUCAGGCU